rnacentral:rRNA from 1 species
UUUUAUGGAGAGUUUGAUCCUGGCUCAGGAUGAACGCUGGCGGCGUGCCUAAUACAUGCAAGUCGAGCGAACGGACGAGAAGCUUGCUUCUCUGAUGUUAGCGGCGGACGGGUGAGUAACACGUGGAUAACCUACCUAUAAGACUGGGAUAACUUCGGGAAACCGGAGCUAAUACCGGAUAAUAUUUUGAACCGCAUGGUUCAAAAGUGAAAGACGGUCUUGCUGUCACUUAUAGAUGGAUCCGCGCUGCAUUAGCUAGUUGGUAAGGUAACGGCUUACCAAGGCAACGAUGCAUAGCCGACCUGAGAGGGUGAUCGGCCACACUGGAACUGAGACACGGUCCAGACUCCUACGGGAGGCAGCAGUAGGGAAUCUUCCGCAAUGGGCGAAAGCCUGACGGAGCAACGCCGCGUGAGUGAUGAAGGUCUUCGGAUCGUAAAACUCUGUUAUUAGGGAAGAACAUAUGUGUAAGUAACUGUGCACAUCUUGACGGUACCUAAUCAGAAAGCCACGGCUAACUACGUGCCAGCAGCCGCGGUAAUACGUAGGUGGCAAGCGUUAUCCGGAAUUAUUGGGCGUAAAGCGCGCGUAGGCGGUUUUUUAAGUCUGAUGUGAAAGCCCACGGCUCAACCGUGGAGGGUCAUUGGAAACUGGAAAACUUGAGUGCAGAAGAGGAAAGUGGAAUUCCAUGUGUAGCGGUGAAAUGCGCAGAGAUAUGGAGGAACACCAGUGGCGAAGGCGACUUUCUGGUCUGUAACUGACGCUGAUGUGCGAAAGCGUGGGGAUCAAACAGGAUUAGAUACCCUGGUAGUCCACGCCGUAAACGAUGAGUGCUAAGUGUUAGGGGGUUUCCGCCCCUUAGUGCUGCAGCUAACGCAUUAAGCACUCCGCCUGGGGAGUACGACCGCAAGGUUGAAACUCAAAGGAAUUGACGGGGACCCGCACAAGCGGUGGAGCAUGUGGUUUAAUUCGAAGCAACGCGAAGAACCUUACCAAAUCUUGACAUCCUUUGACAACUCUAGAGAUAGAGCUUUCCCCUUCGGGGGACAAAGUGACAGGUGGUGCAUGGUUGUCGUCAGCUCGUGUCGUGAGAUGUUGGGUUAAGUCCCGCAACGAGCGCAACCCUUAAGCUUAGUUGCCAUCAUUAAGUUGGGUACUCUAAGUUGACUGCCGGUGACAAACCGGAGGAAGGUGGGGAUGACGUCAAAUCAUCAUGCCCCUUAUGAUUUGGGCUACACACGUGCUACAAUGGACAAUACAAAGGGCAGCGAAACCGCGAGGUCAAGCAAAUCCCAUAAAGUUGUUCUCAGUUCGGAUUGUAGUCUGCAACUCGACUACAUGAAGCUGGAAUCGCUAGUAAUCGUAGAUCAGCAUGCUACGGUGAAUACGUUCCCGGGUCUUGUACACACCGCCCGUCACACCACGAGAGUUUGUAACACCCGAAGCCGGUGGAGUAACCUUUUAGGAGCUAGCCGUCGAAGGUGGGACAAAUGAUUGGGGUGAAGUCGUAACAAGGUAGCCGUAUCGGAAGGUGCGGCUGGAUCACCUCCUUUCU